GGCCGGUUGACGCAGUUGGUUAGCGUGUGGAGCUAAUACGUAAUCAUACGAUUACACAAUCACUCCAAAGUCAUGGGUUCGAGCCCCAUACGGGCCA
rfam:Tulasnella calospora MTT 4182 unplaced genomic scaffold scaffold_15, whole genome shotgun sequence.